rnacentral:rRNA from 1 species
UACGUAGGGGGCAAGCGUUGUCCGGAAUCAUUGGGCGUAAAGCGCGUGUAGGCGGCUGGGUAAGUCCGCUCUGAAAGCCCGGGGCUCAACCCCGGGAGGCGGGUGGAUACUGCUCAGCUCGAGUCCGGAAGAGGAGUGUGGAAUUCCUGGUGUAGCGGUGAAAUGCGCAGAUAUCAGGAGGAGCACCAAUGGCGAAGGCAGCACUCUGGGACGGUACUGACGCUGAGACGCGAAAGCGUGGGGAGCAAACAGG